rnacentral:rRNA from 1 species
GGUAACGAUAGCGGUGAGGGUCCACCUGUUCCCAUUCCGAACACAGUAGUUAAGCUCACUUGCGCCGAAAAUACUUGUCUGGCGACGGACCGGAAAGAUAGGCAAUUGC